UCGCCAUGUUGCCUAGGCUGGUCUCAAACUCCUGGGCUCAAGGGAUCUUCCGGCCUUGGCCUCCCAAAGUGCCGGGAUUACAGGCAUGAGCCACUGCACCCAGCCAUUUGGGAAAGAUUGAUCUACAUGAUUUCUGUGGAGCUGAUUUCCUGUAUUAACCGGAUAAGAGGAUAUGAACAGCUUUUUAGUUCUUGUUCUAUGUGUCUGCCAAUGGAUUCAAACAACAAUAGAGCACUUACAUAACUCAGCUCGCCAUAGUGUAACAACAACCCAGGCACAGAGUGCUGGAAAGAGAUUUCUGCAGUAACAAUUCCCUUUCUCACCAGGCAGAGGCUUAGGAACAGUACUAAAGGGACUUUCCUUUGUCCUCAAGAGACUCAAAAAAAACCUGGAGACCUUUUGGGUCAAACUCUCUUGUUUUAGUCAUUGGUAUCUGCUCCUUAUAGUCCUGCUUGAGGAUUACCUGGGCCCACUCGCUACCUCAUCUCGUGUCACGCUACCUUACUCCGAACACACAGCUGCCUUCCUUCAGGAUCAGCGUCCUGUCUGAUGAUGUCUUCUUCCUGGAAUAGUUUCUCACCUGCCAGUCUUGUUCAUUUAGUUAAUUCCUUUUCGUCCUUUAGAUCUUAAUUCAAAAGUCUAGGCCGGGCAUGGUGGCUCACGCCUGUAAUCCCAGCAUUUUGGGAGGCCAAGGCAGGCAGAUCACCUGAGGUCGGGAGUUCCAGACCAGCUGGCCAACAUGGUGAAACCCCACCUCUACUAAAAAUACAAAAAAUUUAGCCAGGCGUGGUGGCGGGCACAUGUAAUCCCAGCUACUUGGGAGGCUGAGACAGGAGAAUCGCAUGAACCUGGGAGGUGGAGGUUGCAGUGAGCCGAGAUCACGCCAUUGCACUCCAGCCUGGGCAACAAGAAUGAAACUCUGUCUCAAAAAAAGAAAAAAAAAAAUCUGUUCCUGCUCCUCCCAGCCCGCUCCCACCCCAGAUUCUUAUCACAUUUUGAAAUUAUAGACCAUGGGAUAUAAUUGCAUGGCAGAUGGAAGCAAAGACAUUGUAAGUGUAUUUAUCACCUCCUCAGAUUAAAAUAGUCUAACUUAUUUAUUAUUUAUUUAUUUAUUUAUUGCCAUUGGGCCCUUCUGCCCCCACAUUUUAAGGGAAUUUCUGAACUUAUUAUGCAGGUUGGGGAAACUAGUGGAGGAAAAUCUUAAGAAACAGUUAAGCCUAAAGGAUCCACAUGGAUCCGGAAAGCACUAGGGAUGAGGAAAAGCUGACUCAGACAAAAGUUGUUGAAAUACAAUAAAUGAAAAUGGCAGGGAUGUGAGCUAAGGUUGGCAUUUUGGUAAAGGAUGAGUAAUAAGGUGUGCAGAGAGGCACUGGGACAAUUAAGGGAUGACAAAGCCAUUAAGACUGAGUGAAGAGGGACAAGGGAAUAUCCAGAUGUGUGUCUGUAGGUUACAAAUCGAAUCCCCUUUGGCAGUCUUUUGAGAGGCACAAUUAAAGUUGGAAACUGCUCUAGUGGAUACAAAGUUUUAGUGGCUUUAAACAAAAAAAAAUUAUCCCUCAUUUAUACAAAAUGAUUAAUGAGAUUGCCUUUCUCACCUAGGGUCCUUGAGUUUACUCUCUAGAACAUCGCUGAUUAUGGUAGAAAAAAGCAAGAACCUGUUUGACCUUGUCCUGUGUUACUUUAACCCAUAACCAUAGAUGCAUUGGUUGCUAUAUUUGUCUCCAGGAAUAGGAAGGCACAAAGAAAUUGGACCACAGAGGCGUUGUGGGGGACAGUGGCUAGCUGCUAUGACUGCCAAUGUCCAUUUCCCUUCCUUUUGUAAGGCAUCCCAAUUUCUUCUGGGGACUGAACCUCUGACCCUCUCAAUUCACAAACUUCUCCUGGAAUUGGCUCCCCUCCAGCUCUAAGGAAGAGCAUGUGACUUAGGCCUGGCCUAUCAGAGCACCACAUUCCCCUGGCCAGGAUUAGUUUAGGAACGUGCAUGUGAUCUACUUCAGACUAACGAGAGUCACACUAAGAAUAUUUGUUGGAAGGAGCGAAACACUGUUCUUUUAUCACUGGAUUUGAACAUGAAGAUGAAACCAAAAUUCAGAUGAGUAGGGCUGAAAGGAGAGGCACCAGGUCCUGGUGACACUGUUGGAGCCCCUACAACAACGGGUGCUGCAACUAGCCCUUGAGCCAAUGAAUACUCACCACCCCCCUUCUUUUUUGGCUUAUGUGAAUGUGAGUUGGGGUUUUAGCUGCUUAGAAUGGAAAGAGUUCUAAACUCUAUAGCAUUAAACUUAUAUCUGUGUUACAUAUGAUUAAGACCUAGCUCCAUGAUUUGCCUUCAUGAGGACAGGGACCAUGCUUUUUGUUGUUGUUGUUGUUGUUGUUUUCUAGUGUAUCCUUGGAUAAACACAUUGUCUUGUGACUGGUUACUGUCUGUUUCCUUGUUGAACUUUAUACUCUCUGCAGGCCAGAAAUUUUUGUCUUACUAAUCUUGAGUUCCCAGACUAAUGCACAAGACUUAAAAUAAGAAUGAAAAAAUACAGG
rnacentral:lncRNA from 10 species